CACUAAGCUUCAGUCUAGAAUUGACCGUACCGCAAACCGUCACAGGUGGGCAGGAUGAAAAUUCUAAGGCGCUUGAGAGAACUUAGGAGAAGGAACUCGGCAAAUUAACACCGUAACUUCGGGAGAAGGUGUGCCCCGGUAGGUUGUAGAGCCUCGCGCUCGAAGGCCGAUGGGGUUGCAGUGAAAUGGUGGCUGCGACUGUUUAAUAAAAACACAGCUCUCUGCAAACACGAAAGUGGACGUAUAGGGAGUGACGCCUGCCCGGUGCCGGAAGGUUAAUUGAUGGGGUGCAAGCUCUUGAUCGAAGCCCCGGUAAAUGGCGGCCGUAACAAUAACGGUCCUAAGGUAGCGAAAUUCCUUGUCGGGUAAGUUCCGACCUGCACGAAUGGCGUAACGAUGGCCACACUGUCUCCUCCUGAGACUCAGCGAAGUUGAAAUGUUUGUGAAGAUGCAAUCUCCCCGCGGCAAGACGGAAAGACCCCAUGAACCUUUACUGUAGCUUUGCAUUGGACUUUGAACCGGUCUGUGUAGGAUAGGUGGGAGACUAUGAAACCGGGACGCUAGUCUCGGUGGAGUCAACCUUGAAAUACCACCCUGGUUUGUUUGAGGUUCUAACCUUGAUCCGUGAAUCCGGAUCGGGGACCGUGCAUGGUGGGCAGUUUGACUGGGGCGGUCUCCUCCCAAAAGGUAACGGAGGAGUACGAAGGUACGCUUAGGGCGGUCGGACAUCGCCCAUAAAGUGCAAUGGCAAAAGCGUGCUUGACUGCGAGACCCACAAGUCGAGCAGGUGCGAAAGCAGGUCAUAGUGAUCCGGUGGUUCUGUAUGGAAGGGCCAUCGCUCAGCGGAUAAAAGGUACUCUGGGGAUAACAGGCUUAUACCGCCCAAGAGUCCAUAUCGACGGCGGUGUUUGGCACCUCGAUGUCGGCUCAUCUCAUCCUGGGGCUGUAGCCGGUCCCAAGGGUAUGGCUGUUCGCCAUUUAAAGAGGUACGUGAGCUGGGUUUAAAACGUCGUGAGACAGUUUGGUCCCUAUCUGCCGUGGGCGCUGGAAAUUUGAAGGGGGCUGCUCCUAGUACGAGAGGACCGGAGUGGACGAACCUCUGGUGUACCGGUUAUGGCGCCAGUCGUAUCGCCGGGUAGCUAUGUUCGGAAGAGAUAAACGCUGAAAGCAUCUAAGCGUGAAACUCGCCUUAAGAUAAGAUUUCCCGGAGUCUUGAACUCCUUAAAGGGUCGUCGAAGACCACGACGUUGAUAGGUCAGGUGUGGAAGCGCAGUAAUGCGUUAAGCUAACUGAUACUAAUUGCCCGUACGGCUUGAUCAA
rnacentral:rRNA from 1 species